rnacentral:lncRNA from 1 species
GAAUUAGCAUAGGUUUCCUCCGCAACUGAUGCAUCUUCUAACCAGGCUGGGAACACAACACGCGCACACGCGCACACACACACGCACGCACCCACCCCACCCGGCUGCCGGACGCAAGCGUAAGUCAAGGACUUGCAUGCUAGAAUCAGACAGAAAAUCCAGAAAAGCCACGUUAUUUAACAGAACCCUACAAGGUCAGCUUUGAGUCAAAGCAGGACGGAGCCCUGACAGCAAUGUUUGCUACGGCCUCCCUCUGCAGUCAGCCUAAAGCAAGGAGCUGGAGGUAGAUGAGGCAAAGGUAAAGGAGACCAAAACAGUAUUUUAAAGAAAAAAUCAUUUAUCUUCAAAUAGGCUCCAAACCUAAGAUGGUGUAUACUGUUAGAGGACAAGAACCUGCUUCUAGCCAUCUUUGCGUCUCCAGGACCUGACUUGUGACCAUUCAAUAAGAGUUUGAUAGAUGGACAGACUAAUGAAUAGAUGAAGAUGAUUAGAAGCCAAAAUUUCUGAAUCUUCCUAGCACCCAGAACAUGGCUUAACAUCAAGGAAAUGCUCACUAAAUACUGUCAUAAUGGAAUGAAUGGAACCGAUGCCUAAUUGAAAAUCAUUAGGCUGUAAACCAUUUCCAUGUUCCAAUUUCUU